GAUGAACGCUAGCGGCAGGCUUAAUACAUGCAAGUCGAGGGGCAGCACGGUUAGCAAUAACUGGUGGCGACCGGCGCACGGGUGCGUAACACGUAUACAAUCUACCUUAAACAGGGGGAUAGCCUUUCGAAAGAGAGAUUAAUACCCCGUAAUAAAUUGAACGGCAUCGUUUGAUUUUGAAAGCUCCGGCGGUUUGAGAUGAGUAUGCGUCUGAUUAGCUAGUUGGUGAGGUAACGGCUCACCAAGGCGACGAUCAGUAGGGGAUCUGAGAGGACUAACCCCCACACUGGUACUGAGACACGGACCAGACUCCUACGGGAGGCAGCAGUAAGGAAUAUUGGUCAAUGGAGGCAACUCUGAACCAGCCAUGCCGCGUGCAGGAUGACGGCCCUAUGGGUUGUAAACUGCUUUUAAUACAAGAGAAAACCCUGGUACGUGUACCAGGUUGAUAGUAUUGUAAGAAUAAGCAUCGGCUAACUUCGUGCCAGCAGCCGC
rnacentral:rRNA from 1 species